GACAACCAACCAAACAUAAAAUAUAUGCAGAAGAUUCACACGUUUUUCUGGGCAAUGAAUGACGAACGUUACUGCUUUUGCGUCAUACUGAAGCUCACGUUGACCGCCAUGUUUAGGAAUCUUGAUUAGCGCAAUUUAACGUCCAGCAACAACACACAUGUUACCAGGAAGUUAAUGUGCUCAUAAAUUCGGUUUUGUUUCUCCGAAACACGAGUGAACUUUGGUGUGACAUCUGAAAGGUGGAGGCAGCUUUGGACUUACUGGAGUUGGCAUUAUAUUUAUUGGAAAACCACCACCCCAACCCCUUAUCCUCUCCUCACCCCUCUGCCCAGUCUUUGUCUCCUCCAGAGUCUCUAGGAGCUUGAUAUGGAGCUUAUGGGAAAAAGGAGGAAGAUCAAUCCUGGUGUCAGCAGCUCAGCGCACAUCUCUCCCAGUAACGGCAGGACAAGUGUCAGCUGGAGGAGAGGCAGCUGCCGCCAUGCAGAGAGCGAGAGAGCGAGAGAGAGAGAGACCUCUACACGUGCCAUGGAAGAAACCAGAAUCUCCAGUGAGUGAGCGCCUUGACUUCUUGGUUCUGGGAGUUGAUGGCCCAGCAGGUCUGCCUGCAUUUGAAUGUCAAAGAGCAUCUCGGAGCUGUCACGGCCCGUCUGCCACACGGGAGAAACUUCCCUCCAGUCCUCGCCGUUAACCACAAGGCACCUGGACAGGAGAGAGGAUGGCGUGGAGUGGCGGUUGAUGUGAAGGAAAGACAAUCAGGAGAGCAGAGACUGAAGUCUUUUGCUGCCGUCAGAGUGAUUAGGUGUGGCUGCGGAGGCCAGCUUCCUACCCCCAUCUUCAGCAGGUCCUAAUUUUAUGUGUCUCCAAUCCCCUGAAGAUGGGCAGUAAUCAGUUUGUUCCUGUCUGCUGGCUUUCUGGGAGGGAAAGGCGGCACUAAUCAGAAGUGGCGUAGCACUCGCAGAUGCCAGGCAAAGGGGAGGGGAGCGAGAUGACACUCACGGAUUUAUUACCUCCCCAUCUCUAUCCUGAGCUGGGCGAAUCCUGCAUAAAAUGGGCAAAAUAAAUUAAGCUAACCACCGUGUUAAUCAAACAUAGCAAAAGCAAGCAUGGAAAUCCUGAACCAUGAGAGACCUCUUGAGUUUUGCCUUUGUGCUGAAGCUGUUUGUAUUUUGCUGCUUUGCACGUAUGACUUAUUAUCCUCAAUUCAUUGUUACCAUUUCUUUUAUCAUUUAGAUUUUCUCUACUGUGCCUCCAAGAUCAAAAUGUGAUUCAUUUUUAGUAAAUGGUACAGUAAAUUACAUUCAAACUAUGUGCUUAAUAUAUCGGCUGCAAUUAAUGACUAUUUUUCAUCAUUGAUUAAUCUGCAGAU